rnacentral:misc_RNA from 1 species
GAGGAACUGUCAUGCCGGAU